rnacentral:tRNA from 1 species
GGCGCUGUGGCAUAACAGGUUAACGCCCUGGCCUGAAGUGCCAGCACCUCAUAUGGAUGCCGGUUCGAGUCCUGGCUGCUCCA